UGGAAAGAGUUUAAAAUAGUU
rnacentral:piRNA from 1 species